rnacentral:rRNA from 1 species
GCUGACUCGGGGCCAGCAGGCGCUGGAAUACGUAGGGUGCGAGCUGUGUCCGGAAUGACUGGGCGGAAAGGAUGCGUAGGUGGAUACUUAAGGGGGAUGGGAAAGCCCCGGGCUCAACCCGGGAACUGCAUUCCAAACUGGGUAUCUAGAGUGCAGGAGAGGAAAGCGGAAUUCCUAGUGUAGCGGUGAAAUGCGUAGAUAUCAGGAGGAACACCUGUGGCGAAAGCGGCUCACUGGACCAUAACUGACGCUGAUGCACGAAAGCUAGGGGAGCAAACAGGAUUAGAUACCCGGGUAGUC